GCAAGUCGUGCGUCUCCAAGCUAUGAUGGAGACGCGGCGUACAGCUCAGUAACACGUGGCUAACCCACCCUUGGGACGGAGACAACCCCGGGAAACUGGGGCUAAUCCCCGAUAGGAGAAGACACCUGGAAGGGGUCUUUUCCCAAAAGGCGUUUAGAUCAUGCUUCUAGACGUCGCUCAAGGACGGGGCCGCGGCCGAUCAGGUUGUUGGUGUGGUAAUGGCUCACCAAGCCUAUAACCGGUACGGGCCGUGAGAGCGGGAGCCCGGAGAUGGGCACUGAGACAAGGGCCCAGGCCCUACGGGGCGCAGCAGUUGCGAAAACUCCGCAAUGCACGAAAGUGUGACGGGGCUACCCCGAGUGCCGUCCGCUGAGGGCGGCUUUUCCCCGGUGUAAGGAGCCGGGGGAAUAAGGAGAGGGCAAGUCUGGUGUCAGCCGCCGCGGUAAUACCAGCUCUCCGAGUGGUAGGGAUGAUUAUUGGGCUUAAAGCGUCCGUAGCCGGCCUAGCAAGUCUUCCGUUAAAUCCACCGAUUCAAUCGUUGGACUGCGGGAGAUACUGUUGGGCUAGGGGGCGGGAGAGGCCGACGGUAUUCUCGGGGUAGGGGUAAAAUCCUAUAAUCCUUGGAGGACCACCAGUGGCGAAGGCGGUCGACCAGAACGCGCUCGACGGUGAGGGACGAAAGCUGGGGGAGCGAACCGGAUUAGAUACCCGGGUAGUCCCAGCUGUAAACGAUGCGGGCUAGGUGUUA
rnacentral:rRNA from 1 species